rnacentral:rRNA from 1 species
UCGAGAAUCUUCGGCAAUGGGCGAAAGCCUGACCGAGCGAUGCCGCGUGCGGGAUGAAGGCCCUCGGGUUGUAAACCGCUGUCGUAGGGGAGGAAGGCUCCGUGAAGAGCGGGGUUUGACCUAUCCUAGGAGGAAGUACGGGCUAAGUACGUGCCAGCAGCCGCGGUAAUACGUACCGUACGAACGUUAUUCGGAAUUACUGGGCUUAAAGGGUUUGUAGGCGGCCUUGUAAGUCAGGUGUGAAAUCCCUCGGCUCAACCGAGGAAUAGCGCUUGAUACUGCAAGGCUUGAGGGAGACAGGGGUAAGCGGAACUGAUGGUGGAGCGGUGAAAUGCGUUGAUAUCAUCAGGAACACCGGUGGCGAAAGCGGCUUACUGGGUCUCUUCUGACGCUGAGGAACGAAAGCUAGGGGAGCGAACGG